CCUACGGGAGGCAGCAGUGAGGAAUAUUGGUCAAUGGACGAGAGUCUGAACCAGCCAAGUAGCGUGAAGGAUGACUGCCCUAUGGGUUGUAAACUUCUUUUAUAUGGGAGUAAAAUGUUCCACGUGUGGGAUUUUGUAUGUACCAUAUGAAUAAGGAUCGGCUAACUCCGUGCCAGCAGCCGCGGUAAUACGGAGGAUCCGAGCGUUAUCCGGAUUUAUUGGGUUUAAAGGGAGCGUAGGUGGAUUGUUAAGUCAGUUGUGAAAGUUUGCGGCUCAACCGUAAAAUUGCAGUUGAAACUGGCAGUCUGGAGUACAGUAGAGGUGGGAGGAAUUCGUGGUGUAGCGGUGAAAUGCUUAGAGAUCACGAAGAACUCCGAUUGCGAAGGCAGCUCACUGGACUGCAACUGACACUGAGGCUCGAAAGUGUGGGUAUCAAACAGGAUUAGAUACCCGAGUAGUC
rnacentral:rRNA from 1 species